GAGUGAGCGGCAAAAGCUCAAAUUUGAAAUCUGGCACCUUCGGUGUCCGAGUUGUAAUUUGAAGAUUGUAACCUUGGGGUUGGCUCUUGUCUAUGUUUCUUGGAACAGGACGUCACAGAGGGUGAGAAUCCCGUGCGAUGAGAUGCCCAAUCCUAUGUAAGGUGCUUUCGAAGAGUCGAGUUGUUUGGGAAUGCAGCUCUAAGUGGGUGGUAAAUUCCAUCUAAAGCUAAAUAUUGGCGAGAGACCGAUAGCGAACAAGUACAGUGAUGGAAAGAUGAAAAGAACUUUGAAAAGAGAGUGAAAAAGUACGUGAAAUUGUUGAAAGGGAAGGGUUUGAGAUCAGACUCGAUAUUUUGUGAGCCUUGCCUUCGUGGCGGGGUGACCCGCAGCUUAUCGGGCCAGCAUCGGUUUGGGCGGUAGGAUAAUGGCGUAGGAAUGUGACUUUGCUUCGGUGAAGUGUUAUAGCCUGCGUUGAUGCUGCCUGCCUAGACCGAGGACUGCGAUUUUAUCAAGGAUGCUGGCAUAAUGAUCCCAAACCGCCCGUCUUGAACCACGGACCAAA
rnacentral:rRNA from 1 species